AAUAACUACAAAUAUAAACUGUAUAUAAUAUCAACUACAAUUAAUCUACAAUAUUAAGACUACUAAACUACAAUUGAAGAAAGAGUAGAUUUGCUGCUCGUUUUUAGUUCUCCACCUCGAUUGAUCAAUGCUAGCAGUUGGAACUAGCUCUGCCUCAACUUCUUAUAUCUCUUGGAACUAGCUCCGUCAGUCUUCCCUUGCAAUGGAAUCCAACUCCAG
rnacentral:lncRNA from 1 species